GACGAACGCUGGCGGCGUGCUUAACACAUGCAAGUCGAACGGAAAGGCUCCAGCUUGCUGGAGUACUCGAGUGGCGAACGGGUGAGUAACACGUGGGUAAUCUGCCCUGCACUCUGGGAUAAGCCUGGGAAACUGGGUCUAAUACUGGAUAUGACCUUUCUCCUUAUGGGGUUUGGUGGAAAGUUUUUCGGUGUAGGAUGAGCCCGCGGCCUAUCAGCUUGUUGGUGGGGUGAUGGCCUACCAAGGCGACGACGGGUAGCCGGCCUGAGAGGGUGAUCGGCCACAUUGGGACUGAGAUACGGCCCGGACUCCUACGGGAGGCAGCAGUGGGGAAUAUUGCACAAUGGGCGGAAGCCUGAUGCAGCGACGCCGCGUGAGGGAUGACGGCCUUCGGGUUGUAAACCUCUUUCAGCAGGGACGAAGCGUAAGUGACGGUACCUGCAGAAGAAGCACCGGCUAACUAUGUG
rnacentral:rRNA from 1 species